CCUACGGGGCGCAGCAGUAGGGAAUCUUUCACAAUGGGCGAAAGCCUGAUGGAGCAACGCCGCGUGCAGGAUGAAGGCCUUCGGGUUGUAAACUGCUUUUAUAAGCGAGAAAUAUGAUGGUAACUUAUGAAUAAGGAUCGGCUAACUAUGUGCCAGCAGCCGCGGUCAUACGUAGGAUCCGAGCAUUAUCCGGAGUGACUGGGUGUAAAGAGUUGCGUAGGUGGCAUAAUAAGUAGCUAGUGAAAUCUGGUGGCUCAACCAUUCAGACUAUUAGCUAAACUGUUAAGCUCGAGACCGUUAGGGGUAACUGGAAUUUCUAGUGUAGGAGUGAAAUCCGUAGAUAUUAGAAGGAACACCAAUAGCGUAGGCAGGUUGCUGGGACGGUUCUGACACUAAGGCACGAAAGCGUAGGGAGCAAACGGGAUUAGAUACCCCAGUAGUC
rnacentral:rRNA from 1 species